GAUGAACGCUAGCGGCAGGCCUAAUACAUGCAAGUCGGACGGGAUUGAGGAGCUUGCUUCUCAUGAGAGUGGCGCACGGGUGCGUAACACGUAUGUAACCUACCUUAAUCAGGGGGAUAGCCUCUCGAAAGAGAGAUUAACACCGCAUAACAUGAUGAGAUAGCGUUAUUUUAUCAUCAAAUAUUUAUAGGAUUAAGAUGGGCAUGCGGGACAUUAGCUAGUUGGCGGGGUAACGGCCCACCAAGGCGACGAUGUCUAGGGGAUCUGAGAGGAUGGCCCCCCACACUGGUACUGAGACACGGACCAGACUCCUACGGGAGGCAGCAGUAAGGAAUAUUGGUCAAUGGGCGCAAGCCUGAACCAGCCAUGCCGCGUGCAGGAAGACGGCCCUACGGGUUGUAAACUGCUUUUGUACGGGAAUAAACCUUGAUACGUGUAUCAAGCUGAAUGUACUGUAAGAAUAAGGAUCGGCUAACUCCGUGCCAGCAGCCGCGGUAA
rnacentral:rRNA from 1 species